UGGUGUCAAAGUAUCAUUUUCCAUUAUAAAAUAAACCCCCUAGCACGUUGACCAGCUAAAUUGUCAUCAUCAUCUGUUCACUCUGUUCACUCAUCAUCAUCUGUUCACUCAUCAUCAUCUGUUCACCAUGGAUCCACCACCGAAUGCUGGCGGAACAACGCCUUUGCAGCAAGCAAAGCGUAGACGCCAUGACGCCAGACGAGCGCUGGCAUUAGCUCAAUUUGAUUAUGCGAAGGAGCUCGUGAGAGACGACCGCCUUCAAGAUGCGGCAAAAGAGGCUAAGAAAGCGAAGGUAAUUCUCAAGGAAACCGACAAGGAAGAUGCUAUCGAAUAGCUUCGGAGGAUGACGGUGUAAGAUUUUUUGUUCUUCUAAGUUCUUUUUUGCGAGUCCAAGAACCGUUCUUUUGUUGCAGGAACCUAAUUCUUUUGUAUACCAAAAUCGUUCGUUCUUAUGUGAGACUUUCUUUUGUUCUUGAGACUUUCUUUUUCAAGUUUUUGGUGCAUGUUAAUGAACCAACACCAGUAUGAUCAUCUUUGACUUAAGGCUUGAUGAAGUUUGCUGUUAUUGAUUCACUUGUUCUGAUGAGAUCAUUUCCUGAUCACAUGUCUUUAUAAAAAUGCCACUCCCUCACACUCCAGAUAUAUAAUUUAAGUAUAUAUAAUAUUAUCAAAACAUAUCUUUAAAUCUGAACAACUUAACCUUUUUGUAAAAGGGGUACGAAAGAAGCCAAAUCUGCAUAUGAAUAUGAAAGAAGCCAAAAGAAUCAAGCUUCACCUAUCUUCAAUUUUAUGAGUUGAAUUUUCUAUAAUCAAUUAUCUUCCAAUAAAAGCAGUGGAAUUCAUAUAUGCAUCUACGUGUAUGUUAAAUAAAAUCCAAAUAUGGUACAUGCACCUUAAUUUCUCUUUCUGCAUAACAAGUGGUUUAAAAUUGAAAAUGGGUUUCUUUCUUUUUCAUUCUUUUAAGCUUCUACAGGAAUUUGACUUUAUUCCACACAAACACCAUUUCUGCACCUUAAUUUCACCUUUUUUGUAUUCAUUUUCUGUUUCUGUUUAAAAGGGUCAUCUGUUCUUGCAGGGAAGCUGUUUAUCAGUUUCAGUUUUUAGAAAUAGAUACUUUCUGUAUAAUUAAUCACUGAUUUGAGUACCCUCUUAAAUAUUAUGGUAUUUGUUUACCUUAUAUAAUUACAGUAGUUUCUGGCCAAAGAAUUCAUGGUGGUGUUUGAAUGAGUUUCAUGGUCUACUUAUUAGAGAAUAAAGGGAAAAAGAAAGAGAAAGAAUGGGAAAGUGGUUUUUUUUAUAUGUUAUAAAGAAAGUAAAACAGAUGUGUCAGCCCCACAUGCUUUAGGUAAAAAGAUUGCAAAAAUAGUUCUGUUCAUGUUAAAAUGGUGGAAAAUUAAGAUAAACUAGAUCACAUUCAAUACUUACUAUAUAUUUUUUCCAAUUUUUAAUGAUUUUUUUUACUAGUAUUCAUUUUUAUUUAUCAUUUUUAAAAAAAUUAAGAUAAUAUUAUUCUUUUUCUAGUUGUAUCUUUAAAUUGAUUAAUAUGAAAAGAAAAAAAUGGCAUUGCAAAUGACUUUUACAACAAAAUUUAAACUCUUACAAUUGCAUAGAACAAAUAUUUAAACAUCAAAAUUUGACUAUUAUUACAUUUUUUUUUCUUCUAAAAAAAUUUACUCCUUAUCUAAUUUAUAUCUCUAUUUAAAAUGUGUGUGAUUCAGAAUACCUAUUACACAUCUUCAAGGUGUAAAUAAGCAACAGAGGAACAAAAUACAUUUCUUAUUGACUUUUAUAGCGAUGCCAAAUUAUUCAUAAUUUUCACUCCAUCAAUUUCUUCAAUCAAUAGAUAAAUUAUAAUGAAAUUCCAAGAAAAUAAAAUCAAAGUUACACAUCAAUUCAAAACUAAAUAAAAUCGAAGUGAAGAUGAAUGAACACCAAAUAAAAUCGAAACAAAAAUGAUAAAAAAGACUACCUGAUUGUAUAUGCAGUUGAUGAAUACCAUAUAAAAAUAAAUCAAAGAUUAGAUAUCAAAUAUCACAUUAUACCAAGUUUAUGAAAAUGGUUGUACAGCUUUAUGAGAAUCGUUGUAGACGAUAAUGCUGAUAGAUCUUUCAAAAAGAAAAUUUAUUUAGACACAACACCAAUCAAAUUUGAACUCAAUUCAUACAAAAAUUUAAUGAAAACAUAGUACAAAUAAAGGUAAAAAUAAUUAAGACAGAGACUUAGAACUAAAGCAAAAGUGAGAACUAGUAGAAGUAAGAAUAAGAGUUAAAGUGGUGAGUGAAAUAAUGAAAUUUUAAAUUCAAAUUCACUUUUAUGAAAAAAAAAAUCUUAAAAAAAUCAUUAUACUUUUUUUUAGAAUUUUUAUUUGUAAAAUAAAUUACAUAAUUAUAUAAUCAAUAUAAACGUAUAUGAUUUUUUAAGUAUUGAAAAUAUUUUUUUUGAUAAUUUUUCCCAUACUAAUUUACCUGUAUUUGAAGCGGAGUUUUUUCUUUUUUAAAAGUGUGAAAAAUAUUUUACAUGAAAAAAAAAAGUGUAUAUAUUUUCCACCCAAAUUUUGUAACACAAAAUUAUGCAUGUAAUAAAUGAUUCUAAAGAAAUUCUGAAAGACAAUCUUGCCUAGAAUAUUUUUUAAGGUAGUGUGCAUAAUUGUCACACAUCACGUGCUAAGAGAAGGAAAAUACAACAUCAAUUUCAGUAAAUACUUGUCUGAAUAUGUAUGUAUUUACGUCCUUCUAAUAUUCUAGUCCGAUUACAACAGAAAAUAACAUAUAGUUAAUUGUUAAUCAUAAUAGUAGGAUGUACUAUUAAAAUUGUUCUCAACAUCACUCUUGUUGAGGUAAUAUUUUCCGGUUAAUUAUGAUAUUUGAGACGGUUUCGAAACUUGAAACCUUUUUAUUGUUUUAUUUUUAGAAGAUGCUUUAGAAGAUUGAAGAAGAAAGGUGG
rnacentral:lncRNA from 1 species